rnacentral:rRNA from 1 species
CUGCCGGACCUGACUGCUAUCGGAUUGAUACUAAGCCAUGCGAGUCUUUGUAGUAAUACAAGGCAGACGGCUCAGUAACACGUAGUCAACCUACCCUAUGGACAAGAAUAAUCUCGGGAAACUGGGCAUAAUUCUUGAUAGAUCAUAAUGCCUGGAAUGGUUUAUGGUUAAAAUGAUUCGUCGCCAUAGGAUGGGACUGCGGCCUAUCAGCUUGUUGGUGAGGUAAUGGCCCACCAAGGCGAUUACAGGUACGGGCUCUGAGAGGAGAAGCCCGGAGAUGGGUACUGAGACACGGACCCAGGCCCUAUGGGGCGCAGCAGGCGAGAAAACUUCGCAAUGUGCGAAAGCACGACAAGGUUAAUCCGAGUGAUUUCUGCUAAAGAAAUCUUUUGCCAGUCAUAAAACCACUGGUGAAUAAGGGGUGGGCAAGUUCUGGUGUCAGCCGCCGCGGUAAAACCAGCACCUCAAGUGGUCAGGAUGAUUAUUGGGCCUAAAGCAUCCGUAGCCGGCUUUGUAAGUUUUCGGUUAAAUCCAUGUGCUCAACGCAUGGGCUGCCGAAAAUACUGCAUGGCUAGGGAGUGGGAGAGGUAGACGGUACUCAGUAGGAAGGGGUAAAAUCCUUUGAUCUAUUGAUGACCACCUGUGGCGAAGGCGGUCUACCAGAACACGUUCGACGGUGAGGGAUGAAAGCUGGGGGAGCAAACCGGAUUAGAUACCCGGGUAGUCCCAGCUGUAAACGAUGCAGACUCGAUGAUGCAUUGGCAUAAUAGCCAGUGCAGUGUCGCAGGGAAGCCGUUAAGUCUGCCGCCUGGGAAGUACGUACGCAAGUAUGAAACUUAAAGGAAUUGGCGGGGAGCACCACAAGGGUGAAGCCUGCGGUUCAAU